rnacentral:rRNA from 1 species
GUCUACGGCCACACCACUCCGAACGCGCCCGAUCUCGUCUGAUCUCGGAAGCUAGGCAGGCUCGGGCCUGGUUAGUACUUGGAUGGGAGACCUCCAUGAGAUCAAUGUUAAAAUCA